AGAGUUUGAUCCUGGCUCAGGAUGAACGCUAGCGGCAGGCUUAACACAUGCAAGUCGAGGGGCAGCAUAAUGGAUAGCAAUAUCUAUGGUGGCGACCGGCGCACGGGUGCGUAACGCGUAUGCAACCUACCUUUAACAGGGGCAUAACACUGAGAAAUUGGUACUAAUUCCCCAUAACAUUCGAGAAGGCAUCUUCUUGGGUUAAAAACUCCGGUGGUUAAAGAUGGGCAUGCGUUGUAUUAGCUAGUUGGUGAGGUAACGGCUCACCAAGGCAACGAUACAUAGGGGGACUGAGAGGUUAACCCCCCACAUUGGUACUGAGACACGGACCAAACUCCUACGGGAGGCAGCAGUGAGGAAUAUUGGUCAAUGGACGCAAGUCUGAACCAGCCAUGCCGCGUGCAGGAAGACGGCUCUAUGAGUUGUAAACUGCUUUUGUACGAGGGUAAACGCUCUUACGUGUAAGAGCCUGAAAGUAUCGUACGAAUAAGGAUCGGCUAACUCCGUGCCAGCAGCCGCGGUAAUACGGAGGAUCCAAGCGUUAUCCGGAUUUAUUGGGUUUAAAGGGUGCGUAGGCGGUUUGAUAAGUUAGAGGUGAAAUACCGGUGCUUAACACCGGAACUGCCUCUAAUACUGUUGAACUAGAGAGUAGUUGCGGUAGGCGGAAUGUAUGGUGUAGCGGUGAAAUGCUUAGAGAUCAUACAGAACACCGAUUGCGAAGGCAGCUUACCAAACUAUAUCUGACGUUGAGGCACGAAAGCGUGGGGAGCAAACAGGAUUAGAUACCCUGGUAGUCCACGCAGUAAACGAUGAUAACUCGUUGUCGGCGAUACACAGUCGGUGACUAAGCGAAAGCGAUAAGUUAUCCACCUGGGGAGUACGUUCGCAAGAAUGAAACUCAAAGGAAUUGACGGGGGCCCGCACAAGCGGAGGAACAUGUGGUUUAAUUCGAUGAUACGCGAGGAACCUUACCCGGGCUUGAAAGUUAGCGACGAUUCUUGAAAGAGGAUUUCCCUUCGGGGCGCGAAACUAGGUGCUGCAUGGUUGUCGUCAGCUCGUGCCGUGAGGUGUCGGGUUAAGUCCCAUAACGAGCGCAACCCCUACCGUUAGUUGCCAUCAGGUCAAGCUGGGCACUCUGGCGGGACUGCCGGUGUAAGCCGAGAGGAAGGUGGGGAUGACGUCAAAUCAGCACGGCCCUUACGUCCGGGGCUACACA
rnacentral:rRNA from 1 species